CAGAUCAGAAGGUGAUUGUGGCUUUGAGUAGAUAUUAAGCAGCCACAGCACUGCCUGGUCAGA
rnacentral:pre_miRNA from 2 species